AAACAUGACUUUUUGAUUAGCUAAAAAGCCCAAUCUGCCCAGUGGUAAGCUAAACGGCUGCAGUAUCCUGACUGUACUAAGGUAGCAUAAUAAUUUGUCCUAUAAUUAAGGACUGGAAUGAAUGAUCUCAUGGAAUGAAGCUGUCUCUAAACAAAAUUCUAAAUUUAUUAAUUAAGUGAAGACUCUUAAAUAUAAUUAAAUGACAAGAAGACCCUGUCGAGCUUAAAUUUAACUUAUCAACUUGUUAUUUACACUUUUGAUUGGGGCAAUCUGGAAAUAUACAGCUUUCCAUAGAUCCAAACAGUUUGAUAAAAGAAAAGUUACCGCAGGGAUAACAGCAUUAUCUCUACUAAAAGUUCUUAUUGCAGUAGAUUUUUGUGACCUCGAUGUUGGAUUAAUUUACCUUUUAGUGCAAUUGCUAAAUCCGGUUGGUCUGUUCGACCAUUAAAAAAUUACAUGAUCUGA
rnacentral:rRNA from 1 species